UACAAAGUGUUAUUUUCUGCUGGCUGAGGUACGAAAGAAGCAGAAAAUGUUUUCUCACACAAGGCUGGGAGCCCGAUUGUGAAUCGGGUGUGUUCGGGUGGUGCAGGUUAAGACAGCACAUGUUGUUGUUGCUUUCGCAACGCUUGACAUAACUCCCCACCCGCCCGCCCGUUAAUUAUAGUCAGCUUGUUAGAUGCAGUGGACGUUUAUAUAAC